CCUACGGGGGGCUGCAGUGGGGAAUAUUGGACAAUGGGGGGAACCCUGAUCCAGCCAUGCCGCGUGUGUGAAGAAGGCCCUCGGGUUGUAAAGCACUUUCAGUGAGGAAGAACGCCUGGUGGUUAAUACCCAUCAGGAAAGACAUCACUCACAGAAGAAGCACCGGCUAACUCCGUGCCAGCAGCCGCGGUAAUACGGAGGGUGCGAGCGUUAAUCGGAAUUACUGGGCGUAAAGCGCGCGUAGGUGGCUUGAUAAGCCGGUUGUGAAAGCCCCGGGCUCAACCUGGGAACGGCAUCCGGAACUGUCAAGCUAGAGUGCAGGAGAGGAAGGUAGAAUUCCCGGUGUAGCGGUGAAAUGCGUAGAGAUCGGGAGGAAUACCAGUGGUGAAGGCGGCCUUCUGGACUGACACUGACACUGAGGUGCGAAAGCGUGGGUAGCAAACAGGAUUAGAUACCCCGGUAGUC
rnacentral:rRNA from 1 species